rnacentral:rRNA from 1 species
CGCGUAGGCGGUCGUGCAAGUCGGUGGUGAAAGCCCUCGGCUCAACCGAGGAAUUGCCCCCGAAACUGCACGACUUGAGUCCCGGAGAGGGUAGUGGAAUUCCCAGUGUAGCGGUGAAAUGCGUAGAUAUUGGGAGGAACACCCGUGGCGAAGGCGGCUACCUGGACGGGUACUGACGCUGAGGCGCGAAAGCGUGGGGAGCAAACA